AAGCGGAGGAAAAGAAACCAACAGGGAUUACCUCAGUAACGGCGAGUGAAGCGGUAACAGCUCAAAUUUGAAAUCUGCCGCAAGGCCGAGUUGUAAUUUGUAGAAGAUGCUUUGGGUAUGGCCCCGGUCUAAGUUCGUUGGAACACGACGUCAUAGAGGGUGAGAAUCCCGUAUGUGACUGGGUGCUUUUGCCUAUGUAAAGCUCUUUCGACGAGUCGAGUUGUUUGGGAAUGCAGCUCAAAAUGGGUGGUAUAUUUCAUCUAAAGCUAAAUAUUGGCCAGAGACCGAUAGCGCACAAGUAGAGUGAUCGAAAGAUGAAAAGCACUUUGGAAAGAGAGUUAAACAGUACGUGAAAUUGUUGAAAGGGAAGCGCUUGCAACCAGACUUGCACGCUGUUGAUCAUCCAGGCUUCUGUUUGGUGCACUCAACUGCGUUCAGGCCAGCAUCGGUUUUGGUGGUGGGAUAAAGGCCUUGGGAAUGUAGCUUCUUUCGGGGAGUGUUAUAGCCCUCGGUGCAAUGCCGCCUACCGGGACCGAGGACCGCGCUUCGGCUAGGAUGCUGGCGUAAUGGUUGUAAGCGACCCGUCUUGAAACACGGACCAAGGAGUCUAACAUCUAUGCGAGUGUUUGGGUGUCAAACCCAUACGCGUAAUUAACGUGAACGGAGGUGAGAACCCUUAAGGGUGCAUCAUCGACCGAUCCUGAUGUCUUCGGAUGGAUUUGAGUAAGAGCAUAGCUGUUGGGACCCGAAAGAUGGUGAACUAUGCCUGAAUAGGGUGAAGCCAGAGGAAACUCUGGUGGAGGCUCGCAGCGGUUCUGACGUGCAAAUCGAUCGUCAAAUUUGGGUAUAGGGGCGAAAGACUAAUCGAACCA
rnacentral:rRNA from 1 species